GUCUGGUAAUGAGUCAUGCGGUGCUUUAUUGUCAAUGAGACGAUUACAUGUAGAAUAAAUCAUUUUCUUAGUUAUAAAAUCAAUUCGCAGAAAUUUUUUAAGUGAAGUCCAGUGACGUUUGCAACUAUGUACAUAAGUACUACAUUAACAAAUCAGCACCAUCUGCAAAUCAACAAAGCGAAGGAAACAGUAUGUAAUGCAUAACCCUCUCUACAACCAUGCAGUAUGCAACAACACCAACGAAUGCGAGCAGCGGACCAUGCUUUGGACUCGACAUACAUAUGUACAUAUGUACAUACAUAUCGUCGUUCAAAGUACAAAACCGCGUAACGUCGUUCUGCAAA